UUUACGGUUCCUGUUGCUUAUGUGCUUGCAGUGCAGUGCAGUUGGGCACAGAACGCGACACAUCGAUAUUGCUGGUUUAGUUAAGACUCUAAGUUGCUGCUGGACAUGCUAGAAAUUGAGGUUCUGUUUGUGCAUGGUGUUUAUUGCAGAGAAUACGGAGGUAGGGUGGUGUAUCUCGUAGAUAUUCAAAAAUUGUGUCCUAUUACGGGCUCACAACUCCGCCAUAUAAAGUGGAUGCUCUGGAACCUUAUAUGAGCAGGAGAACAGUUGCACUUCAUUGGGGUAAACACCAUCGGGAUUAUGUGGAGGGCUUAAAUAAGCAGCUUGCUAGCAGCCCCCUGUAUGGAUACACUCUGGAGGACCUGAUAAAAGAAGCACACAACAAUGGCAAUCCAUUACCAGAAUAUAAUAAUGCAGCACAGGUCUGGAAUGAACCAUCACUUCUUCUGGGAAUCAAUGCAACCAGAAGGUGGCGGCUUACCAUCAGAUUGAAAAGGAUUUUGGCCCGUUUACUAAUUUCAGGGAAGACUUUAUUUCCUAAGCCUUACAACUAUUGGGGUCUGGUUGGGUUUGGCUUGUCUUGAGGAGAAAUGAGAGAAAGCUUUCAGUAGUUCAUACACGAAAUGCCAUCUCCCCUCUUGCUUUUGGCGAUAUUCCAAUUGCCAGCCUAGACUUAUGGGAGUUAAGGACAUUGACUCCAAGUUUUUAGAUCCUACUUUGUGCCAUAUACUGACAUUUGUCCUUUUCUGUUCACCUCUCUUUUUUGUGUACUUGUUCAGCAAAUUAGUUCUAAAAAAUUUAGCAGAAAACAUCUGUGGUGCUUCCUUUGCAACUUUGCAGGAUGAUAAGCUAAUAUAUAUUACAAAGUUUAUGGACCAUCUCAUCUCUUGGGACACUGUCACUCUGCGCAUGAUGCGUGCUGAGUCUUUUGUGAACCAUGGUGAGCCAAAUAUCCCAGUGGCAUAAGGUACAAAUACACCAUGGUUAUCAGGUAAGGAUUCAGGACUUUGGAGCAGCCUGGUAAUUGUGCAGCUUAAUCAUGUAACUGGACACAUGAAAUGAGGGUGUCAUUAGUUUCUGCAGUGACGGAAACACUCAACCCAGAACAUCCAUAGAUUAUGUAAUGCUCUUUCUCAUGGAACAACAAGGCUUCAUUCAAACAUUUGUCUUUUUUUUCUACUUUUAAUUAAGGUUUGGUGGUGAGUCAUCACAGGGCAUAAGCUGCUACUGAACUGAGAACUUGGCAGUCUGAGGCUGUCCUUCUCACAUGAGAAACACCAGAUUGAUAUUUAUUGACAAGGAACACUUCUAUAAAGCACCCUGCUUUGUCAUAAUAAAACAAUAAAACGCCCUACCUUAAGGUAGUUGAUGGCUUGAUGCGAUGUUCUUGCGUCCACUGUAUGUCACCAUAAAUUAUUCAGGAUACAGCUAGCCUACUUGAGGAUUGCGGAUGGUCCAUUUAUUUUCCCUUAUGUCACCUCAUAUAAAAGAAACUACUGUAUUUAAUAUCCCCUAUCAAGUUGUUUGGUGUUCAGCUGUUUAAAAGUUUGAUCCCUUUGUUUUGAUCCAC